GACGAACGCUGGCGGCGUGCUUAACACAUGCAAGUCGAACGGAAAGGCCCUGCUUGCUGGGUACUCGAGUGGGGAACGGGUGAGUAACACGUGGGUGAUCCGCCCUCCACUUCGUGAUAUGCCUGGGAAACUGGGUCUAUUACCGGAUAGGAGCCAUUCUUAGUGUGAUGGUUGGAAAGUUUUUUCGGUGUAGGGUGAGAUCGCGGGCUAUUUGCUUGUUGGGUGGGUAAUGGCCUACCUACGCGGCGACGGGUAGCCGGCCUGGGGGGGUGGGCGGCCACAAUGGGGCUGAGGUACGGCCCAAGCUGCUAAGGGAGGCAACAGGGGGGAAUAUUGCACAAUGGGGGCAAGGCUGGUGCAGCGAGGCCGCGUGGGGGAAGACGGGCUUCGGGUUGUAAACACGUUUCGGGAGGGAAGAAGCUUUUUGUGACGGUACCGAGAUAAGAAGCACCGGCUAACUACGUG
rnacentral:rRNA from 1 species